rnacentral:rRNA from 1 species
GACGAACGCUGGCGGCGUGCCUAAUACAUGCAAGUUGAGCGCUGAAGGUUGGUACUUGUACCAACUGGAUGAGCAGCGAACGGGUGAGUAACGCGUGGGGAAUCUGCCUUUGAGCGGGGGACAACAUUUGGAAACGAAUGCUAAUACCGCAUAAAAACUUUAAACACAAGUUUUAAGUUUGAAAGAUGCAAUUGCAUCACUCAAAGAUGAUCCCGCGUUGUAUUAGCUAGUUGGUGAGGUAAAGGCUCACCAAGGCGAUGAUACAUAGCCGACCUGAGAGGGUGAUCGGCCACAUUGGGACUGAGACCCGGCCCAAACUCCUACGGGAGGCAGCAGUAGGGAAUCGUCGGCAAUGGACGAAAGUCUGACCGAGCAACGCCGCGUGAGUGAAGAAGGUUGUCGGAUCGUAAAACUCGGUUGGUAGAGAAGAAAGUUGGUGAGAGUGGAAAGCUCAUCAAGUGACGGUAACUACCCAGAAAGGGACGGCUAACUACGUG